rnacentral:rRNA from 1 species
ACACGUGGGUAACCUGCCUUAUAGUGGGGGAUAGCCUUUCGAAAGGAAGAUUAAUACCGCAUAAGAUUGUAGUAUCGCAUGAUAUAGCAAUUAAAGGAGCAAUUCGCUAUAAGAUGGACCCGCGUCGCAUUAGCUAGUUGGUGAGGUAAUGGCUCACCAAGGCGACGAUGUGUAGCCGACCUGAGAGGGUGAUCGGCCACAUUGGGACUGAGACACGGCCCAGACUCCUACGGGAGGCAGCAUG